GACGAACGCUGGCGGCGUGCCUAACACAUGCAAGUCGAACGGAAAGGCCCUGCUUUUGUGGGGUGCUCGAGUGGCGAACGGGUGAGUAACACGUGAGUAACCUGCCCUUGACUUUGGGAUAACUUCAGGAAACUGGGGCUAAUACCGGAUAGGAGCUCCUGCUGCAUGGUGGGGGUUGGAAAGUUUCGGCGGUUGGGGAUGGACUCGCGGCUUAUCAGCUUGUUGGUGGGGUAGUGGCUUACCAAGGCUUUGACGGGUAGCCGGCCUGAGAGGGUGACCGGCAAAAUUGGAGUGAGGGUACGGCCCAGACCCAAACGGGAGGAAAGAGGGGGAAAUUUUGCCAAAGGGGCGGAGGCGUGAAAAAGGACCGCCGGGUGGGGAAUGACGGCCUUUGGGUUGAAAACCACUUUAGCCUGUAACGAAGGGUGGGGAAGGGAAAUGGGGAAAAAAGCCCGGGCAAACUACGG
rnacentral:rRNA from 1 species